CUAGCUUCACUUUCUAGGCCUUUUUAACUUAAAAAUUUGUUUCAAAAGCAUGUGAUCUAAGCUCUCUCUAAAACCAUAGGUGGCCUGACAACACAGAUAAACAGAGAAGAAAUGAUCUUCCAUCUUCAGAGAAUCAAAGCUGCAGACAUGUAAUAGUUUGUCACUGCCAGAAAAUGACAAUGCAGAGGUGAACUGUGUCCAUGUGGAGAACCAUGUGGAGAAUCAUGUGGAGAACCAUGUGGGGAACCAUGGGGAGAACCAUGUGGAGAACCAUGUGGGGAACCAUGUGGGGAACCAUGUGGAGAACCAUGUGGAGGAGAACCAUGUGGAGGAGAACCAUGUGGAGGAGAACCAUGUGGAGAACCAUGUGGAGGAGAACCAUGUGGAGAACCAUGUGGAGAACCUUGUGGAUUAUUUCUCAUCAUGAUGCUAGUGAAGAAGUGGCAAAAUCACCUUAAUUUCUUUAAUUCAGAUCGUCUGUGGUUUGAUAUUGAAGUAGCAGCUAAAAACAUACCCUCUGAAGCAUGAAGGUUGCUACUAUGUGUUAUAAUUUCUUUUCAACAAAAAUACAGCUAUAUUUAAAAGA